CUACGGGUUGCAGCAGUUAAGAAUCUUCUGCAAUGCGCGCAAGCGUGACAGAGCGAGCCAGAGUGUUUUUCAAAUUGAAAAGCUUUUGCUAAAUCUAAAAAGUUUGGCGAAUAAGGACUGGGUAAGACUAGUGCCAGCCGCCGCGGUAAUACUAGCGGUCCAAGUCGCAGCCAUUUUUAUUGGGUCUAAAACAUCCGUAGCUUGUUUGAUAAGUUUCUUGUGAAAUUUCGUAUCUCAAAUAUGAAGCGUGCAAGAAGUACUGUCAAACUAGAGACUGGAAGACGUAAGAAGUACGUUCGAAGUAGUGGUAAAAUAUUUUAAUCUCGAGCGGACUCACAACAGCGAAGGCAUCUUACGAGGACAGUUCUGACAGUAAGGGAUGAAGGCUAGGGGCGCAAAACGGAUUAGAUACCCGGGUAGUC
rnacentral:rRNA from 1 species